CAGGUCCUGCAGAGGGCGCUCUAACAUCACACAAUGUCCCACUCAAAUUCUCAUCUUAUUAAAUACUCUUUUCUCAGAGAAACGUAAGCUUCAGACUGUUCUAUCCCACGAUUUUUUUUUUUACACCUGCAGUAUGAAUAUAGCUCCGACAAUAACGCAGGUGUUUGGUGUAGAACUUUGACACCUCCCCUCUCUGUUUUACACUUACUGUGUUUACAUCCACUCCCUUCUAACGAAUGGAGAGAGGAGCUGCUGAUGUUGAAGAUGAUUUCUGUGCUCUUUAUUGUCUACUUUCUUCAGUUUCCGAACAGUGAAGGUGUCUCUGACACCAAAACUGUCAUCCAAACACCUGGCCACAUCGUGAAGAGGCCUGAGGAAUCCGUUGACAGGGAGAUCAACUGUUCACACAACAUUCCAAACCAUGACUACAUUCUCUGGUACAAACAGGAGGAAAACAAAUCCCUGAAGUACCUGGGGUUUCUCAACCGGAAAUAUGAGACCGUAGAGAGCGAUUUGUCGGGAAAAAUUCACAUCACUGGCGAUGGCAAUGAAAAGUCAGAGCUGACUAUUUAUAACUUGUUCUUGAACGACAGUGGUGUAUACUUCUGUGCAGCUCGUCAACACGGUGCUGCAGAAUCCCAGCCAGCCAAUACAAAAUACUCAAGUUAAAGUGAAAAAAAAAAAACAACAGGGUUUCAAACAGGAGCAGCUGCAAUCUUUUUAUCUGCUUCUUCUCUGAACUUCAACCUCAAAGCAGACGUGUUGAAGAAGCCGACCACAGUACACCACCCAGUUCAUA